rnacentral:rRNA from 1 species
UACGGAGGGGGCGAGCGUUAUUCGGAAUUAUUGGGCGUAAAGGGCGCGUAGGCGGCUUGAUGUGUCAAAGGUGAAAUCCCUCGGCUCAACUGAGGAACUGCCUUUGAAACUGUCUGGCUUGAGGCCGGGAGAGGGUAGCGGAAUUCCCAGUGUAGCGGUGAAAUGCGUAGAUACUGGGAGGAACACCGGUGGCGAAGGCGGCUACCUGGACCGGUUCUGACGCUGAUGCGCGAAAGCGUGGGGAGCGAACCGG